AUUGGUAUUUGACUUUUUAGUGUGGAGAUAUUUUGAUAAAUGAUUUGUAUUAUCGCAAUAAGUAAAAUUUGUGUGUCAACGCACGCAAUUUUUGUAUCGUUGUAGAGGACUUAUUUGCUAGUGUUGUUAUUUUAAUUUAAAAAAAAUAAACGUAAUAAAAUUAAUUUUACUACGCUUAUAGUUGCGUAGACUGCGCAAUCGCUGUGUACAGAAUUCUCAUGGGCGCUUAGUUUCUAAUUAGUGUAAAAAGAGAAAGCUAACUCCUCAUCUGCGUUAUAUUUAUUGAGAGGCAAUAAAGUCACAAAAAUUACAUUAAGAAAAUGACAGAGGAGAUUGUGAGGUUUUGUAAACUAAGAUCUGCCACUGAUCCAAAUUUUUGGGCAAAGUUUGCUGAAUUGAAAAUUGAUAAGUACAAGUUGGAUGACAAAAUCAAAAUAUCACUCUGGGGCAGUUACAGUUUGAAUUUCUUUCCUGAUGGUAAAACAACUCCAUUGAUGCUGGAUUGUACAUCAUUUAACGAGAAUGUGGAUACAACUUCACAUAAUAAUGGUGUGGCAUGUGUUGGUUUUCUAGUUAAUACAAAUACGUACGAUUCUUUUCGGCAAAUAAAUCCACAGAACUUUAUAGAUUCAGUGGGAGAAUAUAUAUCUGAAGCUAUUAAAGAUGGUACUGCUUUAAUACAACCAUGGAAGCUUACAUUAUUUCUUGUCAUAUCUUUUGCUGAUUUAAAAAAGUACAGAUUUCAUUACUGGGUUGCAUAUCCAACUUCUUUUAACAUUCCUGAGAUGUACUAUAAAGAACCAGCACAGCCUGCGACUUUAAGAUUUGAUGCUAGUCAAAUAGAAAAGCUACAAAAAGGCUUUAUGGCAUUACAUAGUCAAUGUAAGUGUUUUUUUGCAAUCCUGGUAUCAGAAAAGGAUAACUUGGAAGUGAUCAGUUUAGCAAAGGGAGUAGACUACGUUAAGUCAAAUGCUAAGGAGAAUAAUGAAGAAGCAUUGGUACACGAAGAGGUGUAUUUUGCUAUCUAUGAUCCUUGCAUAAGUUCAGAACCUGGAUGGCCAAUGCGUAAUUUACUUUGUCUAUUAUGCUGGCACUGUCCCACUUUUUACUUUGAGCAGGACAUUAAAAUUCUUUCCAUGCGAGGAUAUAAUGCGAAACGCGCAAUUGUGUAUACACUGAAGGCCAAAGAAUAUCCUAAUAAGGAAACAAUACAAAAAGCAAUUUUCGAUGGUCGUUUUGUGGGUUGGGAAGCUAACUCAAACCGUAAAAUGGGACCUAACAUUGCUGAUUUAUCAGACACUAUGGAUCCAGUCAAAUUGUCAGGAAGGGCAGUGGAUUUGAAUUUGAAACUCAUGAAAUGGCGAUUGGUACCUGAUCUCGAUUUGGAUGGGAUCAGUAAAUUACGUUGUCUAUUGCUGGGUGCUGGGACAUUAGGAUGCGCCGUAGCGAGAGUACUACUUGGUUGGGCAGUGGGUAACAUCACAUUUGUCGACUCGUCUGUGGUGUCGCAUAGUAAUCCCGUGCGUCAAAGUCUGUACACGCAUCAGGAUGCUGUACAACGACGUUAUAAGGUUCACGCAGCUAAAGAUGCUCUUCUUCAAAUCAGGCCAAACAUGAAUGUGGACGGUGUGGUCUUGCACAUUCCAAUGCCCGGCCACGUUGUGGGACAAAGCAUGAUGGAAACGACUCAAAAGGCCAUAAAGAAGCUAGAAGAACUGGUAGUACAACACGAUGUCGUUUUUCUACUUUUGGAUUCUCGUGAAGCUAGAUGGCUACCGACUCUUCUGUGCGCCGCACAUAAUAAAAUAGCAAUCAACGCAGCACUUGGAUUUGAUUCUUAUACAGUGCAACGUCAUGGUACUCGCAAUCUUUCCAAUCCUGUCUCUCCUGAUUUGACACUCCAGAAUCCAACCGGGCAAGAUCUUGGUUGCUACUUUUGCAAUGACGUAACUCAACCGGGAAACUCGCAGAUCGACAGGACUCUUGAUCAGCAGUGCACAGUGAGUCGGCCAGGAUUGGCACAGAUAGCUGCAGCACUUGCAGUCGAACUUAUGAUAGCUUUAACUCAACAUCCUAAACGAGCUGAAGCAAGAGCUUUAAUGGAUAGCAGUAGAGAUUCAUAUUCAAACAAAGAAAUAACGGAAGAGGGUCUCCUGGGUGGUCUGCCUCACACAAUACGUGGAUCCCUUUGGAGUCACGAAAUGCGAUUAACGAUAACACAUAGAUUCUCAUCGUGUACAGCAUGUUCAACACCUCUCAUUAAUGAAUAUCGAAGUCGGGGAUCCGAUUUCAUUUUGGAUGCUUGCAAUCAGCCAAAUUAUCUUGAACGUCUAGCUGGACUUGAAGAAUUACUCAAGCGACCUGACUUGGAUGAGCUCUGUUAUGCAAUUGAUUCGUCAAGCGAGGAUGAAAAAGAAAAUUUGACGAAAACAUCAACUUGAAGAAGUAUGAUUUACAUCUAAAAUAUUUAUGUAAGUUAUGCUAUACUCUUUAAAUAGUUUGGCGAAUGUACUUAGUAAAGAAGGAUCAAAGCCAAAAUACUGCUUCCUGAUAAACGUACCGUAUUAUUGAUAAAACAGUAACUAUUAUAUGACGCAAUUUCUAUAUUCGAAUGCGUAUUUAUAAGUGUAUUUUGACAUGCAUAAUGAUAUAUGUACAUGUACUUUAAAAAUCAGAUAUACGAAUAUCUUAUAUCUGAUGUACGUUAUCGUCGUACCACGACUCGACUGAAUUUAUAAAAAUUUUAGAUACAAAGUUUAUAAACAGCACAUGCUUCCUUGAAGAUUAAAAUAUUUUUUAUCUAAUAUCAUUUACCGAGCACAUUCCUCAUGACAACCGUGCAUUAUUCAAGAAUCAAUUUUCGUUUCAUUAUAUUUUCAAGUUUGCACUUUUUCUCGUCUAUAUGUAUUACAUAGCAUAAUUAAUAUCUAAUUAAUUUAAUAUCCUAUCAAACUGAUGUGUGAAGAAAAAAAAUAAGAUCCUAAUAAUACUCCGAAUUCAACAAGAUAAUAUAAAAAAUAAGAUUCAUUCAGCAUAAUGCCGCCUUUUUCCACAUACAACUCCGAAUCAAGAAACAGGAUAAAAGAAUGUUCACAUCAAAAACGACAUUCAUUGCUAUUUCGAAGAGCUCAUAGUAACAUGUUCUAUGCCAGUUUCUCUCGCGCACGUGACAUAUCAAAUAAAAAUAUAAAAAACUAAAAGUGACGUGUGUUUACGUCGUCAAAGUAAGGAUAAAACUUGGCAAAAGUUUAAAAUGAAACAGUGAGCAUAAAAGCAAAGAGUAAAAUUUAUCUUUCAGCCCUGUUUCUCUGCCAGGAUCACAAAGUGAAGACAAAGUGGCAGGUUUCGAAGAGUUUGAGAAAGUGAACCGCGUCAACUUAGUGCCUAGUGGAUCGCACGUGCUGUGAAACGUAUUGGGAGAUGUUGAAACAAAUCCUACAGUAUCGAGUCGUCGGCAAUCGUCGUCUUGGAGAUCGCGCAGGACUUUAGACCAUACUUGCGGGGACUGGCAUAUGCAGGGUUGGCAAUUUUGCCUGUAGAGUGCGUCAGGCGGACGAAUGCCAGGCAUUCCAGUAUAACGUACAAGUGGUGGGGACCAAACCUACCUCUUGUGUCAAACAGGCCGUGCUCUGUGUGUCCGCCCGCAUACCAUUAGAUUUUCAUCGUUUUCAAUGAAAAUACAAGCAGUCUCGGGACUCGAUAAGUACGAAAAGACCUCAUCGAAAAGUUAAAGUUGAGUUUGGACGAGUGUCAACCCAAAGGACAGGUGAGUCUUUUUACGUUUUUACGCACGACCCUACGAGAGGGAACGAUCAAGAGAGCGUGAAGAGAAAGAGAGCGGGAGAGAGAGAGAGAAAGACAGGAUUGAAAGAAAAAGAAAAAAAAAGAAAGAGAGAGAGAGAGAAAACGCGCCGAU